GUUUGGCAAGGGCAUGGAAAUGCCAAGAAAAUUCCUAAGGAUGAGAAGAAGUUGUUUUUUUCUAUUGUGAAAUUUUUAAAUUCAUGCUGUCCUUAUAGUUGGAAAGCCUGAACUGUAGAAUAUCUAUAUGUCCUCCAUUGACUGAGGAAAAAAAAGAAAACAGGGAUUAAUUAAUCAUACUAUGAAACCGGAUUAUUAAAAGAGGGAAAAGGAGUGAGUUGUGGGAGAAAGAUAUGAGUUGUGCAGAGGUUACACCUGAGAAAGACAGUGGAACAUUCUAAAGAACUUUUGAUGUAGUCUUCUAGGCACCUAGCUCCCAGAUCUUUGUUUCUAAUAGCAUUGUCCAAUUAAAGGUACCAAAUCUCCUUGAAGAAAUGUCAGAUUCUCAGAUUAAAGCAGGAAACACACAUAAUGAACAUGGAGCACUUUCUAGUGCCAGUAGUUAAGAAAGUGCUAUUAACCCACAUGCACACACAUGUGCACACACAUGGUGAAAGAGUCAAUUGAAACAGUUCAUAAUAUGAAAGUAGAACAAUUAGAGCAACAAUAAGAGCUUAGGGAUAUACUAUUAUUUAUAAAAUAUCAAUGAGCUAUAACUGAUAUAAAUGAUGG
rnacentral:lncRNA from 1 species